UACGAAGGGGGCUAGCGUUGCUCGGAAUCACUGGGCCUAAAGGGUGCGUAGGCGGGUCUUUAAGUCAGGGGUGAAAUCCUGGAGCUCAACUCCAGAACUGCCUUUGAUACUGAGGAUCUUGAGUUCGGGAGAGGUGAGUGGAACUGCUAGUGUAGAGGUGAAAUUCGUAGAUAUUCGGAAGAACACCAGUGGCGAAGGCGGCUCACUGGCCCGGUACUGACGCUGAGGUGCGAAAGCGUGGGGAGCAAGCAGG
rnacentral:rRNA from 1 species